CCUACGGGAGGCAGCAGUGGGGAAUAUUGCACAAUGGGGGAAACCCUGAUGCAGCGACGCCGCGUGAAGGAAGAAGUAUUUCGGUAUGUAAACCUCUAUCAGCAGGGAAGAAAAUGACGGUACCUGACUAAGAAGCCCCGGCUAACUACGUGCCAGCAGCCGCGGUAAUACGUAGGGGGCAAGCGUUAUCCGGAUUUACUGGGUGUAAAGGGAGCGUAGGCGGGUUAGCAAGUUAGAAGUGAAAGCCCGGGGCUCAACUCCGGAACUGCUUUUGAAACUGUGGAACUAGAGUGCAGGAGAGGUAAGUGGAAUUCCUAGUGUAGCGGUGAAAUGCGUAGAUAUUAGGAGGAACACCAGUGGCGAAGGCGGCUUACUGGACUGUAAAUGACGCUGAGGCUCGAAAGCGUGGGGAGCAAACAGGAUUAGAUACCCUUGUAGUC
rnacentral:rRNA from 1 species